CUUAGAUACCACCCUGAAUGCACCCAAUCUCAUUCUGAUCUCCAAAGCUAAGCAGGGUUGGGCCUGAUUAGUACUUGGAAGGGAGAAAUCCUUGGGCCAUUUUUAAGA
rnacentral:rRNA from 1 species